UACAGAGGUCUCAAGCGUUGUUCGGAAUUCAUUGGGCGUAAAAGGGUGUGUAGGUGGGCGCGCUAAGUCGGGUGUGAAAUUUCGGAGCUUAACUCCGAAACUGCAUUCGAUACUGGCGUGCGUUGGAGGACUUGGAGAGGAGACUGGAAGUUCAUGGGUGUAGCAGUGAAAUGCGUAGAGAUCAUGAGGAAGACCAGUGGCGAAGGCGGGUCUCUGGACAGUUCCUGACACUGAGACACGAAGGCCAGGGGAGGCAAACGGG
rnacentral:rRNA from 1 species